rnacentral:rRNA from 1 species
GGCGUCUGGAAAGUUUUUCGGUCAAGGAUGGACUCGCGGCCUAUCAGCUAGUUGGUGAGGUAACGGCUCACCAAGGCGUCGACGGGUAGCCGGCCUGAGAGGGCGACCGGCCACACUGGGACUGAGACACGGCCCAGACUCCUACGGGAGGCAGCAGUGGGGAAUAUUGCACAAUGGGCGAAAGCCUGAUGCAGCGACGCCGCGUGAGGGAUGAAGGCCUUCGGGUUGUAAACCUCUUUCAGUAGGGAAGAAGCGACUGGGUUCUCUCAGACGUGACGGUACCUGCAGAAGAAGCGCCGGCUAACUACGUGCCAGCAGCCGCGGUAAUACGUAGGGCGCAAGCGUUGUCCGGAAUUAUUGGGCGUAAAGAGCUCGUAGGCGGUUUGUCGCGUCUGGUGUGAAAACUCAAGGCUCAACCUUGAGCUUGCAUCGGGUACGGGCAGACUAGAGUGUGGUAGGGGUGACUGGAAUUCCUGGUGUAGCGGUGGAAUGCGCAGAUAUCAGGAGGAACACCGAUGGCGAAGGCAGGUCACUGGGCCACUACUGACGCUGAGGAGCGAAAGCGUGGGGAGCAAACAGGAU